GACGAACGCUGGCGGCGUGCCUAAUACAUGCAAGUAGAACGCUGAAGGAGGAGCUUGCUCUUCUGGAUGAGUUGCGAACGGGUGAGUAACGCGUAGGUAACCUGCCUGGUAGCGGGGGAUAACUAUUGGAAACGAUAGCUAAUACCGCAUAAAAUUGAUUAUUGCAUGAUAGUCAAUUAAAAGGUGCAAUUGCAUCACUACCAGAUGGACCUGCGUUGUAUUAGCUAGUUGGUGAGGUAACGGCUCACCAAGGCAACGAUACAUAGCCGACCUGAGAGGGGGAUCGGCCAAACUGGGAAUGAGACACGGCCCAGAAUCCUACGGGAGGCAGCAGUAGGGAAUCUUCGGAAAUGGACGGAAGUCUGACCGAGCAACGCCGCGUGAGUGAAGAAGGUUUUCGGAUCGUAAAGCUCUGUUGUAAGAGAAGAACGAGUGUGAGAGUGGAAAGUUCACACUGUGACGGUAUCUUACCAGAAAGGGACGGCUAACUACGUG
rnacentral:rRNA from 1 species